rfam:Weissella halotolerans DSM 20190 Scaffold3, whole genome shotgun sequence.
GGGGAUGUACUCAAGUGGCUGAAGAGGCGCCCUUGGAAAGGGCGUAGGUCGGGCAACUGGCGCGGGGGUUCGAAUCCCCCCAUCUCCG